UGGGGAAUUGUUCACAAUGGGCGCAAGCCUGAUGACGCAACGCCGCGUGGAGGAUGAAGGUCUUCGGAUUGUAAACUCCUGUUGCUCGGGACGAAAUGCUUCGACCUAACACGUCGAAGUUUGACGGUACCGAGUGAGGACGCACCGGCCAACUCCGUGCCAGCAGCCGCGGUAAUACAGAGGGGGCAAGCGUUGUUCGGAAUUACUGGGCGUAAAGGGCGCGUAGGCGGCCUGUUAAGUCGAACGUGAAAUCCCCGGGCUCAACCCGGGAACUGCGUCCGAAACUGGCAGGCUCGAAUUCGGGAGAGGGAUGCGGAAUUCCAGGUGUAGCGGUGAAAUGCGUAGAUAUCUGGAGGAACAUCGGUGGCGAAGGCGGCAUCCUGGACCGAUAUUGACGCUGAGGCGCGAAAGCCAGGGGAGCAAA
rnacentral:rRNA from 1 species